rnacentral:rRNA from 1 species
CAGCCGCCGCGGGAAUACGUAGGGUGCAAGCGUUAAUCGGAAUUACUGGGCGUAAAGCGCGCGCAGGCGGUUUGUUAAGACAGAUGUGAAAUCCCCGGGCUCAACCUGGGAACUGCAUUUGUGACUGGCAAGCUAGAGUCUGGCAGAGGGGGGUGGAAUUCCGCGUGUAGCAGUGAAAUGCGUAGAUAUGCGGAGGAACACCGAUGGCGAAGGCAGCCAUCUGGGACAACACUGACGCUGAGGCACGAAAGCGUGGGGAGCAAACAGGAUUAGAUACCCCAGUAGUCCCUGUCUCUUAUAC